AUUAGAUUUAAUUAUUAAUUUAAUUAAUUUUUGAAAAUAAAUAUUUUUAUUUAAAGUUAUAUUAAUUAUUUUAAUUGUUUUAGUAUUAAAAUUAUAAAUAAUAAUUAUAUUAUAAAAUGUAAGUGAUUUAUGAAUUAAUUUUAAAAAUAUUUAAUUAACAAAGUAAAAUUAAUUUUUUGUACCUUUUGUAUCAGGGUUUAUUAAUUAAAUAUUAUUUAUUAAUAAUUUUCUCGAAUUAAUUAGAGUUAAUAUAUUAUUUAAUUUAAUGUUUAAUUAUUAUUUAUAAUAGUAUAUUAGGGGAGAAAUUCUAGUCAAUAAUUAAGAUAUCUAGUUUUUUUAGAAAUAAAUUUAAUUUAUUUAUUAAGUUUGUUAGUUAAAUAAUAUUUAUUUAAGAUAUUUACUUAAUAAAAAGAGUUUAAGGGAUUAGCUUUAAAUUUUAAUUUAAAAAUAAAAAUAUUAUUUAUAUUUAAUAAAUUAUAGAUUUAAAAAUGGUUUUUAUUUAAAGUUUGUAAUAAUUUAUUAUUAAUUUUAUUAAAAAUAAUUUUUUUUAUUUUAAUUUUUUAUAAAAAUAUUUUAAUUAAUAAAUUUUUAAAAUUAAUAAUGAUAAAAUUAUUAUAUUUAUAAUUUAUGUUUUUAUUAAUUUUAAUUUUUAAAAUUAAUUAUAAGGAACUAGACAAAUUUAAUAUUUACCUGUUUAACAAAAACAUGUCUUUUUGAUUUUAAUUUAAAGUCUAAUCUGCCCACUGAAAUAAUUUUAAAUGGCCGCGGUAUUCUGACCGUGCAAAGGUAGCAUAAUCAUUAGUUUUUUAAUUGAAAGCUUGUAUGAAUGAUUGAAUAAGAUAUUUAUUGUCUCAUAAUUAUUUUAAUUAAAAUUUAAUUUUUAAAUUAAAAAGUUUAAAUUUUAUUAUAGGACGAGAAGACCCUAUAGAUUUUUAUAAUUAAAUUUAUAGUUUUAAUUUAAUUUAUUAAUUAAUUAAAUUUUUAAUUAUUUUGUUGGGGUGACAUUAAAAUUAAAUUAACUUUUAAUUUAAUUGAACAUUAAUUUAUGAAAUUUUAAUAUAUAAAUUAUUUAUAUUAUUUUAUUAUUAUAAUUGAUCCUUAAUUUUAGAUUGUUAAAUUAAAAUACCUUAGGGAUAACAGCGUAAUUUAUUUGGAGAGAUCAUAUUAAUAAAUAAGUUUGCGACCUCGAUGUUGAAUUAAGAUAAUGUUUAGGUGGAGAUACUUAAAUAAUAGGUCUGUUCGACCUUUAAAUUCUUACAUGAUUUGAGUUCAGAUCGGCGUGAGCCAGAUCGGAUUCUAUCCUUAAUUAAUUAAUAAUAUUUUUGUACGAAAGGACUUAAUAUUAUAAAUAUUUUAUGGUUAUUGAAUAACAGUAAAAUUUUAAUU